UACGGGGGGGGUAAGCGUUGUUCGGAAUUACUGGGCGUAAAGGGCUCGUAGGCGGCCAACUAAGUCGGACGUGAAAUCCCUCAGCUUAACUGGGGAACUGCGUCUGAUACUGGAUGGCUUGGAUUUGGGAGAGGGAUGCGGAAUUCCAGGUGUAGCGGUGAAAUGCGUAGAUAUCUGGAGGAACACCGGUGGCGAAGGCGGCAUCCUGGACCAACAUUGACGCUGAGGAGCGAAAGCCAGGGGAGCAAACGGG
rnacentral:rRNA from 1 species